GAAAAGUUUGUAGCCCGUCGUGGGCAGUUCAGGCUAUGCUGUAGUGAAAGGAGUGCUGCUUGCAAGGAAAGUACUCGUUUUAGUCAGUUAUUAAAAGAAUGACCCAGGUUCCUGAGGAGCUGACCUGAAUGACCCAUCAUGGCCUCAAUCCGUUGUGCCUCUAUAUUCUUUGCAAAAUGCAAUGAAUAUUUACUGAGCUGACCAUGGCCGUUUGAGAAUCAGAGGAAUGGAAAGGCAAUGAAGUGACUUGGCCUACAGGUCUUUUGUGAGCAGGAGCUGGGGUUUCCUUAGAAGAAGCGUCCGUGUCAUGAUCCCCUUGUGUGUGGUGCUACGCAUAUGGAGGGAACUUCCGGAUACUUCAGGGCAGUACGUUG